rnacentral:rRNA from 1 species
GAUGAACGCUAGCGAUAGGCCUAACACAUGCAAGUCGAGGGGCAUCACAUGAAGUAGCAAUACGGAUGGUGGCGACCGGCGCACGGGUGAGUAACACGUAUGCAACCUGCCUUCAACAAGGGGAUAACCCGUUGAAAGACGGACUAAUACCCUAUAACACAGGGGUCCCGCAUGGGGAUAUUUGUUAAAGGACAACCGGUUGAAGAUGGGCAUGCGUUCCAUUAGCUAGUUGGCGGGGUAAGGGCCCACCAAGGCAACGAUGGAUAGGGGAACUGAGAGGUUUAUCCCCCACACUGGUACUGAGACACGGACCAGACUCCUACGGGAGGCAGCAGUGAGGAAUAUUGGUCAAUGGACGCAAGUCUGAACCAGCCACGUCGCGUGAA